UCUCUAAAAAGUAAUGGGAAAAAUAUCCUCAAGUGAAGAUUAACAAAGAGGGAGGGAAGAAGGGAGGGAGGACCAAACCUCAUUGGAACUGAGCACAGACUUGUGACCUGAAGUUAAAGCUAUCAAAAAUUGACGCAGACGGUCUCUGAAGGAAACAACUUUCCCAAACCGACUGUACCAGUUCUUCGCCCGUUGCACAUUAUCAAUGAAUACAAGCUGUUUUCUAUUCCUGCACCUUCCCCGACGUGAGACACGACACCCAGAAGACUUCUGGACGUGGAGGGACAAAGGCUGUUGAAAUCAGAAAACCUGGCUGUUGAUCAGCAAUACUUUCAGAGAAAGAUCUUGAUCAGAAAGGAGAAAAUCACGAGAGAGAGAGCCUCACCUGGCCAGAAAUCAGGAGCGGCUGUGGGGAGCGCUGUCACACUUAUGUCGUGGUGAGAGCCCUACAGGAAGAACCCUACCUUUCCAGCGGUGCUCUGCGGUUCUAACAGCCCCUCAGCUCCCUCUUCCCCUCUAUAAAGUACUUCCUCCUCCUUUGUACACGUGGCUCCUCAUGUCUGCGUGUGCCAGGCUGCAGUGCCUUCUUUUUCCUGAAUAAAUAGUUUUGGUGACGGAA